ACAGCUAACAACCCAGACAGCACAUGUACGUCUGGCCGACGUCGGCCCAAUAUCGAAACGUCGGCCUCUAUACCUAAAACAUCUAUAACACAUCGGCCUGGCGGAGGCCGAUAUAAUUUGGUCAGUGCUCUGUUCUCCAGCUCAUCAAUCGUCGGCCCUGAGUUGGUUCACGACCGCGGGCCGAUGCCGCGCUUAUCUGUGUGCGCGUGCCCAGUAUUCGUCUCUUUUAGCCACCCAGAGAGAGAGAAGAGGAUAAUCCCAGCGACAUCUGUGGCUCUGAGGCUUCCAGAAAUAAUCUGGUGAAAUAAUAUGGUGAGCUAUUGUUGCUGUUGCUUCUGAACUACAAAAUGAUUUUUAAAUUUAUUAUUGAAUGAGACUGUACAUUAUAAAUGUAAUGCUUUAACUCUAGAUGUUUGUUUGUGUAAAUGCUGUGUGUGCGUUGAGUCCUGCGCGAGCGGGGAGCAGAGUUGCCAUGGAAACGGGGCAUCAACACAAAAACCGUUACUGGCAAGCAGUAAUCUCCUCUCUCGAUGCAGUUUACACUGUUUUGGAAACGGUUUAGUGUCUUCGGAAAAGUCCGUUAUCAUUUUAGCAGUUUUCAGAUGUUUGUUUGUGUAAAUGCUGUGUGCGCGUUGAGUCCUGCGCGAGCGGGUAGCAGAGUUGCCAUGGAAACGGGGCGUCAACACAAAAACCGUUACUGGCAAGCAGUAAUCUCCUCUCUCGAUGCAGUUUACAC